UAGGUAAGGAUUAUUAUUUUUUCUUCUUUUUUUUUUGUCCCAGUUUGAAGUUUCUGUGGAAUUUGAGUUUCUGGAGAGACAGCCUCAUGUUUUCAACAAUUAAUCUGGUGGUAGAGAAAAUGUGGAAGUAGUUUACCUUCAAGAGGGAAAUGACCAACAUUGUGAAAUGUUUUCUAAGCCUUGGAGUGAUAAUGGUUUAGGAAACAGAUGCCUCUAACACUUCCUCUGUCAUUUCGCAUUUCUUGUUGUUGGGAGCUGUGGAGAGUUAAGAAUUCAAAUGAAAAACUGGUUACUCUUAACACCCUCCUUGCACUGUAGAGGUACUUAAAGGCUACUGUACCUUUCACAUUGAUGUUCAUGACAGACUCUCUGUGAGUGACACCGAUGACGUCUAUGACAGAGGUGGUGUGGAUGAUGACCAAGAUGUCCUGGCAGGCUCUCUUCAGGCAUGACUCAUCCAGAAUGUCUCCUUCCAGCACUGUCAGCUUGGUCUUGUUCUGGAGCUCUGUGUGAACACGGGUCAGGCCACUGUGCAUCCAUUAUAUCCCCUGC